GCAGUGGCUCAGUGGUAGAGCAUCGGCUUUGCAUGCAGCAGGUCCCCGGUUCAAUUCCCCGGCAUCUCCA
rnacentral:tRNA from 1 species